rnacentral:rRNA from 1 species
UAUCUCUGUAGAGUCUGCAUAUCAAUAAGCGGAGGAAAAGAAACUAACAAGGAUUCCCUUAGUAACGGCGAGUGAAGCGGGAAGAGCUCAAAUUUGAAAUCUUCAAGGUUUUACCUUGACGAAUUGUAGUUUAAAGAAGUGUUUUCUGUUGGUGUUUUGGUAAAAGUUCUUUGGAAUAGGACAUCAUAGAGGGUGAGAAUCCCGUAUUUGACCAUUAUUUCCAGCUUUGUGAUACACUUUCAAAGAGUCGGAUUGUUUGGGAAUGCAGUCCAAAAUGGGUGGUAAAUUUCAUCUAAAGCUAAAUAUUGGCGAGAGACCGAUAGCGAACAAGUACCGUGAGGGAAAGAUGAAAAGAACUUUGAAAAGAGAGUUAAACAGUACGUGAAAUUGUCAAAAGGGAAGCGUUUGACACCAGUGUUGUUUUUCCGAAAAUCAAUUACGAAUGGCUUGAUUCUGUGUUGUAUUGACCUUAUCAGCUUUCUUCACUUUUUUUCGAGUCUUUCUUAAUGCACUUUUCGGUUAACAAGUCAACAUCAAUUUCUUUUGUUGUAAAAGAGUAUUCGGAAGGUGGCUUUCUUUUCGGAGAAAGUGUUUAUAGCCCUAUACUUCUACAAUCGGAGAGAUUGAGGUCUGCAGCGUAGAUCCUUCGGGGUUAGAUACACUUGUGCUAAGUUGUAGCUUUUCAUAGACAACUUGUUGACUAUGUUUAGUCAUGCGGCUUACUCGCUUGUGCUAUUUUACCUACGCUUAGGAUGUUGACGAGACUGUCGAUCU